rnacentral:rRNA from 1 species
GAUGAACGCUGGCGGCGUGCCUAAUACAUGCAAGUCGAGCGAACAGAUGAGGAGCUUGCUCCUCUGACGUUAGCGGCGGACGGGUGAGUAACACGUGGAUAACCUACCUAUAAGACUGGGAUAACUUCGGGAAACCGGAGCUAAUACCGGAGAAUAUAUUGAACCGCAUGGUUCAAUAGUGAAAGACGGUUUUGCUGUCACUUAUAGAUGGAUCCGCGCCGCAUUAGCUAGUUGGUAAGGUAACGGCUUACCAAGGCAACGAUGCGUAGCCGACCUGAGAGGGUGAUCGGCCACACUGGAACUGAGACACGGUCCAGACUCCUACGGGAGGCAGCAGUAGGGAAUCUUCCGCAAUGGGCGAAAGCCUGACGGAGCAACGCCGCGUGAGUGAUGAAGGUCUUCGGAUCGUAAAACUCUGUUAUUAGGGAAGAACAAAUGUGUAAGUAACUAUGCACGUCUUGACGGUACCUAAUCAGAAAGCAACGGCUAACUACGUG